rnacentral:rRNA from 1 species
AACGAACGCUGGCGGCAGGCCUAACACAUGCAAGUCGAGCGAGGACUUCGGUUCUAGCGGCGGACGGGUGAGUAACGCGUGGGAAUGUGCCCUUCUCUACGGAAUAGCCCUGGGAAACUGGGAGUAAUACCGUAUACGCCCUUUUGGGGAAAGAUUUAUCGGAGAAGGAUCAGCCCGCGUUGGAUUAGGUAGUUGGUGGGGUAAUGGCCUACCAAGCCGACGAUCCAUAGCUGGUUUGAGAGGAUGAUCAGCCACACUGGGACUGAGACACGGCCCAGACUCCUACGGGAGGCAGCAGUGGGGAAUCUUAGACAAUGGGGGCAACCCUGAUCUAGCCAUGCCGCGUGAGUGAUGAAGGCCUUAGGGUUGUAAAGCUCUUUCAGAUGGGAAGAUAAUGACGGUACCAGCAGAAGAAGCCCCGGCUAACUCCGUG